rfam:Debaryomyces hansenii strain CBS767 chromosome B complete sequence.
GCCCCUUUGGCCAAGUGGUAAGGCGCUCCACUCGUAAUGGAGCGAUCGCCGGUUCGAUUCCGGCAGGGGGCA